rnacentral:rRNA from 1 species
UUGAUCCUGGCUCAGAACGAACAUGGCGGCGUGGAUUAGGCAUGCAAGUCGCACGCGAAAGUACCCUUCGGGGUGCGAGUAGAGUGGCGAACGGGUGAGUAACGCGUGGGAAAUGUGCACCAUCGAGUGGGGGAUAACACUUCUAACGGAGUGCUAAUACCGCAUGAAUCGGGAUGUCGCAUGACUUCCUGGGAAAGCGGGCCUCUACUUGUAAGCUCGUGCUCGAUGAUGGUUCCGCGUCCCAUUAGCUUGUUGGUGGGGUAAUGGCCUACCAAGGCAACGAUGGGUAGCCGGCCUGAGAGGGUGUCCGGCCUCACUGGGACUGAGAUACGGCCCAGACUCCUACGGGAGGCAGCAGUCGAGAAGCUUCGGCAAUGGGCGAAAGCCUGACCGAGCGACGCCGCGUGAGCGAUGAAGGCCCUUGUGGUUGUAAAGCUCUGUCAGGAGGGAAUAAAGCACCAUGACUAAUACUUUUGGUUGUCUGAAGGUACCUCCAAAGGAAGCACCGGCUAACUCCGUGCCAGCAGCCGCGGUAAUACGGAGGGUGCAAACGUUGUUCGGAUUUACUGGGUGUAAAGGGUGCGUAGGCGGCCUUGUGUGUCGGAGGUGAAAUUCAGUGGCUCAACCACUGAACUGCCCCCGAAACUGCAGGGCUUGAGUCCGUGAGAGGUAGGUGGAAUUCCUGGUGUAACGGUGAAAUGUGCAGAUAUCAGGAAGAACACCCGUGGCGAAGGCGACCUACUGGUGCGGAACUGACGCUGAGGCACGAAAGCUAGGGUAUCGAACGGGAUUAGAUACCCCGGUAGUCCUAGCCGUAAACGAUGUCUACUAGGUGGUCGGGGGUUCUACCCCCUCGGUGCCGCCGCUAACGCAUUAAGUAGACCACCUGGGGAGUACGAUCGCAAGGUUGAAACUCAAAGGAAUUGACGGGGGCCCGCACAAGCGGUGGAGCAUGUGGUUUAAUUCGAUGCAACGCGAAGAACCUUACCGGGACUUGACAUCCAAGGGACAGGCGUAGAGAUACGUCCUCCUUCGGGCCGCUGGACAGGUGCUGCAUGGCUGUCGUCAGCUCGUGUCGUGAAAUGUUGGGUUAAGUCCCGCAACGAGCGCAACCCUUGUCUUUAGUUGCCAUCAGGUUAUGCUGGGGAUCUAGAGAGACUGCCGGUGUUAAGCCGGAGGAAGGUGGGGACGACGUCAAGUCAUUAUGGCCCUUAUGUCCGGGGCUACACACGUGCUACAAUGGCUGGGACAAUGGGCUGCAAUACAGUGAUGUGGAGCGAAUCCCAAAAAGCCGGCCUCAGUUCGGAUCGUAGUCUGCAACUCGACUACGUGAAGUUGGAAUCGCUAGUAAUCGCGUAUCAGAACGACGCGGUGAAUACGUUCCCGGGCCUUGUACACACCGCCCGUCAAGUCAACCGAGUUGGUUGCACCCCAAGUCGCUGAGCUAACCCGUAAGGGAGGCAAGUGCCCAAGGUGUGAUUAGUGAGGGGGACUAAGUCGU